CUGGGCUGUCACGUGUCAUGGAAUGUCAGUUCGUGAAUCGAUGGAGCUCUGUGGAGGAUUUCCAUACCAAAGCUGAAAUGAUCAUCAGGUCGCGUCCUAAACCACAUGAUGACUGGGGUCUUGAGGAUAUUGAUGAGGAUAGAUAUGACUCAGACACCAGCAUGACGGAGGAGAUUUAGGUCUGUUUUGCCAAUCAGCCAGCCAGCCACCCACUUACCCCGUGUCGGCUUCUUCACUUUCACUUGUGUUGCUUUUACCAUGCUGGCAGUUUAGGUUGUUGUGUGGCCUUCUAGCAGCAUCAACUCAUUUGGAG